GUCUCUUUGAAUAUUUUUAAUAAAGAGUUGGGCCUGCUCGGUGAUUUAUAUUAAACAGCUGCGGUAUUAUAACUGUACUAAGGUAGCAUAAUAAUUUGUCUUAUAAAUUGAGGCUAGAAUGAAUGGUUUGACGAAAAUUAUACUGUCUCUAGUUUAUUUAUUAGAAGUUAAUUUUUAUAGUGAGAAAGCUUAAAUAAUUUUAAGGGACGAGAAGACCCUAUUGAGCUUUAUAUUAUAAAUUAAAGCUAUAAUUUUAUUUAAUUAAUAUAAUUUUGGUUGGGGUGAUCAAGGAAUAAAAAUUAGUUUAGUUAACUUCCUUAAUAUAGUUAAUAUUAUUAUAUUAAUAAACCAAUAAUUUUGCUUAGAGGAUAAGUUACCAUAGGGAUAACAGCGUAAUUUUUUUUGAAAGUUCUUAUUGAAAAAAGAGAUUGCGACCUCGAUGUUGGAUUAAAAUAACCUUAAGGUGUAGAGGCUUUAAUUGGUAAAUCUGUUCGAUUUUUAAAAUUUU
rnacentral:rRNA from 1 species